AUGAAAAUGUACGGAAAUUUACGCGUAGUGACACAUAAACAUUCUCUUUGUGUUGAAAAACAUUUGUAAACAUUGAAACUGGUUUGCUGUUUGAUUGAGAAUUAAAUUGGAAAUUUUAAAACUUUUCAAUCGAAUUGAAAUCAAAUAAAAACGUCGUUAUGGAUACCAACGCGAAGCAGGAGAAAUUUGAAUGUGAAUCGACUGGAAACGCGGUUGCUGGUAUGAUACGAGAAUUCCAAUUGUCACGAAAGGAGAGUGAGAAAAGAGAACGUGCAACUAUUGAGAAGUGGUUUCCUCAUUGGUCAUGGGAUGAAUAUGCAGCUAAAAUUGCCGAAACGGAAGCUCAAUUUCCACGACCACCAGAAGUUGUACAUUCAGAUCCCCAACGUCAGGCUGAAUUUGAAAGUAUGUGGUAUAUAUCACAGAAAAUAGAGGCAGCUAAGAAACGAUGGUCUGAAUUGAAUGCGGAACUAGAAAAAAUUGACGGAGGACCAUUUUCCCCCGACGGACAUAGACUUCACGCGUAUUGCGGGGGAAAAAGAAUGGAAUGAAAUUUUGAAUCUUUGCAUUUCUAUUACAAAUGUCAAUUAGAUGACAUUUAAAAUGUAAACAAACCGCUGUCAUUUAUUUGAGAUCCAAUAAAAAAGUUGUUUGCACGAAUUGUUUGAUAAGUUUUUAUUUAACUUCAUUUUGAAUGGAGUGUGUUAUCUGCUUGAAUUCAAAUCCUGGUGUCUCGUUCCCGGAGUAUAUGAUUCACUGUAUACGAUGCACUGACACAGCAAUCCAUGCGAGCUGUUUUGCUGACCAGGCACAAAGGAUUGGGCUAGCACAUCGCUACGCGUGUCCAGUGUGCAGACUGAUUUUGGUUGGAGAUGAUUGGGAGAAUGCCAAAGACUGGUUUGAAGCUAACAUUGCCGCCCGAUGGUUAGAAAAUCACUUGAGACCAACCAUGACGGCCGAAGAAUUGCAAGAAUUUGCACAAAAUUCAAGUCGAUUUUUAGCUUACAUUCGAUUUGAUUAUACAAUUCCACAAGGGAACAAUUAAAGUUUUCGUUCCGUCAGAAUGAACCUGCAAAUUUGAGACUGAGCCAAACACUUUUGUAAAUAAGAUGCGAUAAUUCAUUCCAAUGUUUACUAUGUAAAUGAAAUUACCAUGAAAAAUAUGUUAUUUAUUCAACUCAGGUGCAAUUUUGUCACAAUCUCAAAAGCUUCGAAUAAAGAAAGCAAAUUUGUAAUGAA